rnacentral:lncRNA from 1 species
AUUAAUACCUUUGUUAUCAACGUUAAUGAUACGCGAGUAAGCCAAUUUAAAAACAGAACGAUGUAUAACGGUAAGAGACAUUUGCUACGAUGAUAGCUUGCAAGUCAACAAUUACUUAAAUUCGUGUUCACUUGCAAGGAACCAUUCCUUGAGGAGAUUAGAUGCGCAUUGGUUUCAGUUUUUAAAAACAAAAGAAUGUCAACAUUGACAACAACCACCAGAACAACUGUUUUGUUGACUUCUGUCUCAAAUAAAUCAUUCACAAACGCUGAUUUACACCAUUUGAAAUCUAUGCAUGAUACCAAAUAGAUAUAGACAAAUUGUCCAUAUGAACUUGAUUUGACCUUAGAAAUUAUUCGGAGAUCAUCACGAUGAUUAAUUAUACG